UGAUGCUUUUACAUCAUAUUAUUUAUUUUCAUUUAACACUGCCGUCAGACAGCGAGCGAUUAAAAACAUUUCACAGUACAUAACGUUAUUUUGUUUAUUCGUGAUGUUAUCUUAUCAUAAUUGCAACAAGACUAAACCAAUUCUAGCGUUUUUCGUAUUUAUCGACUUUUUUUUUAUCAAUUGAUACAUUAUUAAUCGAGUGUAAUUAUUACAUCGUAGCUUUGUUAAAAUGCACAAGAUGUCGCUAUGUGUGCGGUUGACGUAAGGGCGACGAUUCAGCCGAAUGGCGUGUAGUGUCAUGGCGGCGAUGCUGGAGUACGAUGACCCGCUUGUUCGCGCGUUACACGCUGGCUCUUCGCGAUUGCGUCGUAGUACGUCAAGGCAGAUAUUCGUUUUAUCGCGCGUACAAAGCGAGCGUCGAGAAAGAGGGGAUACGUAGACGAGCGACGAGCCACUGCGCAGAUGCUUAUUUUGCUUGGCCGGCACGGGGGGACGGGGGUGGACGCACGUUCAUGGGGCAUGGCGCGGUGCGCGUUCUAGUAAACAACUUGUGUGUGAGUCGCGCGGGGAAUCUGCGCCCCGGUCGAGUAGUCGCGAUAUUUAUUCAACGACGCGGCGUAUCGUACCGUCGCGCGCAACGACGCGUCGCGUCGUCGUCUGAAAAUCACAUUGUAUCGUUGGUAAAGUGAUCAAGAAAAAAAUUUACGGAUUAAUUCAGACUGUGUGAACCGACUUGAUUCACGGCCCGUUUCGUUUAUUAUGCGUACGUGCGCCCGCGAGUGAUUGUUGCUCGUGGUUUGCCGAGAAAAGUGUCCCGGAUCUAACGAGGAAGCGGUUUUACAAUCGUGUCCAAAAAGGAGCGGAGCAACUAUCAACGUCGAUAAUGCCGCGGUGAUGACUCCGGCACGAGACGUCUUGAGAUUCCCGACUGGACGCCGUGUUUCGGACGACAAACUGUCUGGAUAUCGCCGAGGAAGCAGGAUUAUUGUUACGGACAGUGUGCACUAAUCGGCGCCGAGAUUUCCGAAUCCGAGAUAGCGAAUGUCGAACCGGCACAUGUCUCGUAUAUUCCAUGGAAUUGCUUAGUGCGGUGACUCGCCGACGGUGCCGAUUUUCGAGCACGGUCGGCUGAUAUCUUCGUGCGUGCGCGCACGCGUGUACUCUCAGUCUCGUGGCACGCCCACGAGAUUUCUCGUGGUUCGCAUGUGGUAAACGAGGGGGUCAACGAAGUCGACAACGACAAACACGCCUCGAACAACGUCGAGGAAUGAUGUGCGGCGUCUUUGAGCGGCCGUUGCCGAGUCCGUCGCCGCAUUGACGCUCGAGCUCUCCGUUCGGACGAACAGGACGGCAUCGACGUCGAGAAGGCACAAGCGAAACGCCGACGUUCUCCCCCCAAAUUCGUGAUAAGCGCAGCGUCCCUUUUCCAUCGCGAGAGAAAUUUUCGUUCUUCCGAGAACGGGGCGACAAUGAAGUCUUCUCCGGUCGCGUGUCACGCGCGUAGAUUCUGCGGUGAUGCGGCGUUCGAUGAGGACGGGUCGAGCAGUGCUGCAUUUCUUCGGAGACUCGCUCCACCGCUUACUAUUGCCACUGUCUGUCAUCAUCGGAUCACGACGCGGCGUUCGAGGACGCCGACGGCGCGUCGCACCUGCCGACACCGACGUCGACGAUGGCGUGCGAUCUCUGCGAGCGUCUUCGCGGUCGAACGGAUGGACAUUUCGAUCUAGUGGACGCGAUACGGACAGAGGACAGCCGCAUGGCCGACUGGCCAUCGAGACGAAGACGCGACGAAAAUAACUCGUUGACAAGUGAUUCGAAAGCAAGUGGUGAAAAGCGCGAUAGAACUUCGAGGUGCGAUAGAAUCCCACUCGAUGAAUCGUCCGCGAGAUGUGCUUCGAACGUCGUGCGGUGGAAGCUCGCGAGCAGGCUCCAAGCCAAAUCGACGGAGUGGCGAAGACUCAUGUGGAUUGUUUUCCUGUUAGCCAUGGUAUCAAUGGUGAUCCAUCCCGGUCUCGCAGCAGCGCAGAAAAACAUAAGCACCGUCAAAUCUUUUAACACAGACGGAGUGUGCCAAAGUAUAGAUAUAAGAAAUAGCGUAAAUGAAUUGUCAAAGCUGGAAGGAUGCCGAGUGGUCGAAGGCUUCGUACAAAUUCUCUUGAUCGACCGAGCAGAGCCAUCCAACUACACGGACCAUGUCUACCCCGAACUGGUUGAAAUCACUGGAUAUCUUAUUUUAUACAGAGUAAAUGGUUUGAGGAGCAUCGGUCAUAUAUUUCCGAACCUGACAGUAAUUCGCGGGCACUCUCUCUUUAUCAAUUACGCUCUCGUGGCAUUUGAAAUGAUGCACCUGCAAGAAAUUGGCCUCCAUUCUCUUACCAAUAUUCUACGCGGAUCCGUGCGGUUCGAGAAGAAUCCGACGCUCUGCUACGUCAACAGCAUCGAUUGGGACAUCAUCGCCAAGGCUGGCAAGGGGGAGCAUGUCAUAUCGGGUAACAAGCCAACAAACGGUUGUCCGAUAUGCGACAGAAAUUGCCCAAAGAAGCAAACGAAACGCGAUGAGACUCUGUGCUGGAAUCGACUACACUGUCAGCGAAUAUGCGAUCCGAAGUGCGGGGAUGGCGCUUGCGACGAUACGGGAGCGUGCUGUCAUUCGUCCUGUCUAGGCGGAUGCACAGGACCGACGGUCAACGAUUGCAUCGUCUGCAGGAACGUGGUAAUUAACGGUACUGAAUGCAAGGAUCGCUGUUUAAACGGUACUUACGAGUUUAUGAAUCGGCGCUGCAUCGGAGAGCAGGAAUGUCGCAGAAUGCCGAAGCCGCGCGAGGCGUCUGACACCGUGAAAAAGUACCCGUACAAGCUAUUUAACAAUACCUGCGUGAUCGAGUGCCCGGCGGGUUACAUGGAGACAGAAGGGAACGACCCGUCCUGCCGGAAGUGCAACGGUCAAUGUCUGAAGGAGUGCCCCGGUUCGAACGUCGACAGCAUCGCCUCGGCGCAGAAACUGCGCGGAUGCACGCACAUCCAGGGUAGUCUCGAGAUACAGAUACGCGGCGGCAAGAACAUCGUGAAGGAGCUCGAAGAUAGUCUGAGUAUGAUCGAGGAGAUAGACGGUUAUCUGAAGAUCGUACGCAGCUUCCCGCUGAUAUCCCUCAACUUCCUGAAGAACCUGCGCGUGAUACGCGGCAACACUCUCGAAAACCACAAGUACAGUCUUGCCGUGUUCGACAAUCAGAAUCUUCAGGAGCUCUGGGACUGGGAAACGCAUCCGAACCUCACCAUUCUGUCGCCGGCGGGUCCCGCCAAGCUCUUCUUCCACUUCAACCCGAAGUUGUGCCUGCAGAAAAUCGAAAUAUUGCGAGACAAGGCCAAAUUGGAAGAUUUUAACGAUCACGAUGUGGCGUCGAGCAGCAACGGUGACAAGGUCGCGUGCAACGUCACCCAGCUGAAGACGAAGGUUAUCAAGAAGACAUCCAGAGGUGCCAUUAUCGAGUGGGAGGCUUAUACGCAUCACGACACCAGAUCUCUUUUGGGCUACGUUGUUUAUUUUAUCGAGGCGCCUAACCGGAACGUGACGAUGUACGACGGCCGCGACGCUUGCGGCGGUGAUGGCUGGCGAGUGGAAGACAUCUCCGCUGAUAGCGUGAUGCCGCAGUCUCCGAACAGCACCGAUAGACAUCCCGAACCUUUCUCUCACAUACUGACCCUACUGAAGCCGUAUACCCAGUAUGCUUACUAUGUGAAGACUUACACUAUAGCCACGGAGAGAUCGGGCGCGCAGAGUAAGCUCGAAUAUUUUACUACACUGCCGGACGCACCUAGCCCGCCCAGAGCCCUGUCGAUCUGGAGUAAUUCCAGCAGCGAGAUGGUUAUGUCUUGGCUUCCGCCGCUCCACAAAAAUGGGAAUUUGACGGAAUAUCGUAUCAUCGGUCGCUUGGAACCGGACGACCCGAAUUUCAUCGAUCAAAGGGACUACUGCGAAGAACCUUUAACAUUGCCCGAGAAGAAACCAAUAUCUGUCAUGGCCGAGGAAGAAAGAAAACGCGCCGAGGAAGAGAAGGAGUUGGCGAAAUCACCUGAGACCACUUCGUGCAUCUGUGCUGACCGCGAAAUGGCAGAUCAAUCGAUCCGUGAAAAAGAAGUUUCCAGUUCGAUCGCUUUUGAAAACGCCUUGCACAAUCAGGUCUACGUCAAACGAAUGAUGAACGCGCGCCGAAGACGCGACACUAGCGAAAUGCUAGUUGCGGCAAGUCUAGGUCAAAUCAGCGAGGAGAAGGAGAAGGAUGCUACGAAAGUAGUGAAUGGCACAGUCAUAAUGUUCGACAAAAGAGUACCAUUUACGAAUCUUACUUUGGUCAUGAGAAACCUUCGACACUUUGCCGCGUACAAUAUCGAGAUUCAAGCAUGCAGAGAACGAGUUGGAAACGAGACGAAAAAAAAGAAUUGCUCGACGAAGAGCAUGAAAACGUAUCGUACGUUUGCUAUGGAGAGCGCAGAUAAUAUUCCACUCAACACUUUCCGGCUGUCUAUUUCUGGCGAAAAUAAUAAUAGUCUUACUGCGGUUACAUUGUAUUGGGACGAGCCGCCUCAACCGAAUGGCCUAAUUGUCGCGUAUCAGAUUGAAUACAAAAGAGUGGACAUAAAAAAUAUAAAAUCAAUGAUAAUAUGCGUUACAAGACGUGAGUUCACCAAGAGGGAUAAUUCGUACAUUUUAAAAGACCUUUCUGCUGGAAAUUAUUCUGUAAAAGUGCGAGCUACGAGUUUAGCCGGAAACGGCGCAUACACCGAAGUGAAAUAUUUUUAUAUUCCGGAAUCUGGCACGAUCAGUAAAUUUCAGAUUAUCCUAUUUUCAAUAUUGGGCUGUGUCCUACUCAUUCCUAUGACAUGGAUAGCACACUGCAUAUAUAAGAAAAAAUCAAUGCGGAAUGUGCCUAGCAUGAGGCUUAUCGCGACGGUGAAUCCAGAAUACGUGAGCACGAGUUACGUGCCGGACGAAUGGGAAGUGCCGAGAAAGAAAAUUCAAUUGUUGCGAGAAUUGGGAAACGGCUCUUUCGGCAUGGUGUAUGAAGGAAUAGCCAAGGACGUAAAAGGCAAAUCGGAAGUACAGUGCGCCGUGAAAACUGUAAAUGAAAACGCAACCGACCGCGAACGAAUAGAGUUCCUUAACGAAGCGUCCGUUAUGAAGGCUUUUCAUACCCAUCACGUGGUCAAAUUACUGGGUGUGGUAUCGCAGGGCCAACCUACAUUGGUAGUUAUGGAGUUGAUGGUGAACGGCGAUCUGAAAACGUACUUGAGAAGCCACCGACCAGACGUUUGCGAGAACUCCAAGACACCUCCAACGUUGAGAGACAUUUUGCAAAUGGCGAUUGAGAUUGCGGACGGCAUGUCUUAUCUCUCUGCGAAGAAAUUUGUCCAUAGAGAUUUGGCCGCUCGCAAUUGUAUGGUGGAUGACAAACUGACCGUGAAGAUUGGUGAUUUUGGCAUGACGAGAGACAUAUACGAAACUGAUUACUACAGAAAAGGAUCCAAGGGGCUUUUACCUGUCAGAUGGAUGGCACCGGAAAGUUUAAAAGAUGGCGUAUUCACCAGCUUUUCUGACGUUUGGAGCUACGGAGUCGUUCUGUGGGAAAUGGUAACGCUAGCUUCGCAGCCGUAUCAAGGCUUGUCAAACGAUCAGGUAUUGCGCUAUGUGAUUGAAGGAGGGGUUAUGGAACGACCGGAAAAUUGUCCUGACACGCUAUAUAACUUAAUGUGGCGUACCUGGAAUCAUAGAUCCUCGAAAAGACCUACCUUUAUAGACAUUGAGACGCAGUUAUUGCAAGAGAUGAAUAUAGAAAACUUUGAAAAAAUUAGCUUUUUCCACAGCCCGGAAGGAAUCGAAGCUCGAAAUCAAAAUAGUUCACAUUCACCGCAAAAUGAAGAUUUAGAAAUGGUUGCUCUACAAGACCUGCGGGAGGAAGAACUCGAGGGAGGAGAGGAUUCGCCACUGCGUCAAGACUUUGGUGACUUUGCAAGUUUUGAGCCUUGCAAUAUUAAAAAUACUUUAAGUCCACGAUACGGAAUAAAUUCAUACGGUGAAACUUCUAAUGCUACUUCCAAUUUCCAUGACAUGAACUCUUCAGAAGUACCUAAAGCUGGAUUUGACGAAUUUGGUGGCAUAUCCGGAGAUUCGCUAGUAUCUAGUAAGGACACAUUGAACUCGCCUUACGUAGAAGGUAGCCUUAAAUCAGUCAGGAGUUCGCCUUUUAUAUAUAAGAAAAGCACAUCCCGCAGUAACAUAAGUCAAGCGUCUUUGGGAAAGUCUGUGAGUCCGCAAGGUUUAGUCAGGCAAAACUUUCUCGACAGCCCAAAUUCGUCUAAGCCUCAAAGUGAUCCCGAUUACGAAAAUAGUCCCGAAAUAAUGUCGGGUCUCGAAAAGAAGAUUAGUCCGUUGCACAUAGAGUUUGCAUCUAUGGACGCUACAGACAUUGAGAUUAACGGUGACAAAAAGGACAGCAAGUACACGGCUGAUUACGUGAACAAACCGGAAACGUUGAAUAACGGUUACAUUGGUAAUACAACCACGUAGUUUCAAUAAUUCUCUCUAUCAGCAUCCGCGGUGUGAAACAAAUCGUAUAUACGAUAAUUCGAAAUUAUAUUCUUUGGGACGAAUCGAUAUAUUCCAACAAAAAGGCAGUGUCUGUGCCAAAUUUUUGAGCAUACUGGAUUAGAGUUUUGAACGGAUCACAUUUGAGCUAUGUUUUAUAUACAUGAGAGGAGGAUGUUAGUGUUCUAGACUAACGUAAGUUAUACUUGUAAGUGUAUAUUUUAAGUGUCUAGACGUAACCAAGAGUGCAGGUCCUAACAAACCAGUGGAGUUUUCUCAUACGGGUGUUACCAUGUCUUAAUUCCGUCUCUGUAAAUGUAAUUAACAUCGCUACGCGUGUACAGCUAAUUACAUGUUUGUUGUGCUGCGAUGCAUGUUGGAAAACGGAUAGCGGAUAUAUUUAUAUCAGAUACUGUCUUUUUGAAGUUAUCGCUGUAAUAUACGUUAAUAUAGAGAAUUUAGCUUACUGAAGAUCCGUUAUCAUGGAGUUAGAAACAGCUGCGGUUCAAACCAAACGUCUCUCCUGCAAAAUUGGGCUGACAUGAAAAACAUGCCAAGAUAUACCUGUCAGAUGCAUGAUGUCCGUUGACAAACACGUGGCAGUCCCUCUUCCCAUUAACUCUCUAGUGUGUAAGCGCGUAUCAAAGAAUUAAGCAGGUAUUCAUUACUUGUACCAUAGAUUUCCUCUUCAAUUUUCAGUCGCAAAGUACGCUAAUUUUUAUUAUAAGUAAUCAUAUAUUUAGCACAUCGAUUUGCUUUCCCAACGUUUACAGUAAGUUUAGUAAACCAAAGUGGCAAUUAGGUCGACUACCGCGUUGGUACGACAUUUUGUUCACAGCAAAGAGACCACAUUUUAUAAAUUUUGUGAAUUAUGCCUAGUCGCCACUUUGCACGAUUUUAGGCUUUGAAUACUAUAAUAACAGAUUCAAUAUUUGUUGGAAGAUAUAUAUUUGUGGAGGGUGGUUCAGAAUAAGUGUAUCGACUUAGCAAGUAUAUAUCGCGUUCCUUUAAUUUAUAAAUUUCUAUUAUAUUUAUAUUUUCUACGUUGUUUUAACGUUUUUGACUUCAUUGUAUCAACUGAUUCAAGAACUCUGAAUCCACCAAUUACUCGACGUGUAUGGCAGGAGAAUUAGAGAGUAAGGACCUUUUCAAGAAAGUCAAAUUUUCAGUAGUGAAUGUUUGGUUGAUAAGCGUUUGCGAUAUAGUCUGCAAAGAGUUUGUAAUCCCAAGUAAUUAUUUUAAUACUUUUAUUGUAAUUAUAGUAAAAUCUUAAACGAAAACAAUAUUAGUCUCUAGUCUUUAUACACGAAAUUAAUAUUGUUACAUUUUAAUUUCGAAACUAUCAUGAUCAAAUGUUAUGCUAGCGAUAUUAAUUUGAAUGGCGCCCUACUCUCGUUUCUUAUUCCGUGUAUUUAGAUAAUCUAACGAAAAUAGAAAUUCAACAAAGAGUAUAAAGCAAAACUGUACUGUGUGUUUAAAAAGUUUCAGGAUUGAGUACAUUUUUCUAACGAUCAUAACGUGCAGAAAGACACUUAAUUUAAUGUUUAUUUGUCUUCGUUUUUAUUGAAUUCAAAUAGCGCAUUAAAUUAAAUAUUGUAUUUUGCGAACAAAUAAUUAGUUUUUUUCAAAAAAUUUGUUCAAUUAUCGUUGUUUUAGUUCUGAAAUGUUUUCAACAUACCUUGCUCAUACGAUAUAAGCUAUGUGUUUACUAUUUCGUGGAGCUGGCACAUGAAAUCGCGCUUCGCCUCUCUGAUAUCUCUUAAGGAGUCAUAUCUCUCACUACUUAUUAAUAUCACUUUUAUAAAGAUUUAUCGUGCAAUUUACAGUAUCAUAAAUUUACAGGCUCUACAUCGUGCAAUAGAAUCAACCGCUGCUUACGCUUUAUAAGCGAAUAUAGCAACUCAUAGUAUCGCUUACAUACAAUAUCGCCCUUAAUCCGUCAUGCAGUGAUUUCUGCGUCGCUCCACGAAAUAAAUGAUGAAAUUCAGAGGCAUACAUCGUGUUUUUUAGUAGAAACGAGAGACCGUAGACUGUCUUAGAGCCCAGUGAGAAACAAGAUUGAUGACGGACAAAAAGUUGAACCCUGGUGUAAUCAAUGCAGUCGCGAGACAAAUAAUAAUCGGUCGAAUCCUAAUGGAAUGAGCUAAGGAAACAAUUGUAAUACGAGCAACGCAACGCGAUGCAAUUGAGACUACACAUAAACGAGCCUGUAACACAAGACUGAUUAGCUAAUCCUACUAUACAUCCGUAAUCUCUCAAUUAAACUUUUUCGGAAGAAAUUUAAUGCGUUCCAGAAGGCGGUAAAAACAAGGGUAUACACGAUAAAGAAGCACGAUUGAUGACAGAUAUACCAUUGAUCGCCACGGCAAAUGUAUCAUAAUAAUAAGCCUCGCGCUCGUAUUCUGAAGUAUUUAAUGUAAUAACGAAUGAAAGCAGUUAACGCUUAGACCACAUGUACAUGUACUACAUAUGAAGUAAAUAUGGUAAGUAAGAUUAACACGAAAAUGUUUCCUAUACGACCGCGAGUCUCGGUAUCAUAAGAACGGCGUGCGAUCGUGCUAAUUUAGGCCUAUAGUUCGAUAGCUCUGUAAUAUAAUAAUCUAGGAUUAAGAUAGUACGUAAACAGUGUCUGGAAAUUGUAUAACUGUAAAAUGCAGAGAUGUGCCUGUUGACGCGCAUAUUGAGCGAUUUAAUAAAUGUGUGACUCGAUAUAUUCACUUGAACAUACGUAAAUUGUGUAAGACGGUGGUUUAAGGAUGUAAGCCAAUGCGCCGAUAUCAAUGUACAUCUGUAUCAAUGAUGAAAAAAUGUUUGAAGAAUAUCGGACAUAACGCAGAAGAACCGCAUUUUUCUUUCGUUGUAGAAAUUAAGUGAAGUGCUGCAUACUCUGACCGCGUCCGUGCGUGAAUAAUUAGUCUCCCGGUGUUUGUUUUUUCCUCGACUGAAGCAUAACUAUUCAUGUCGAAACGUCGAGGAGGCAUAUUGACAUAGGAUUACUCCAUCUCGAUCCGCAAUUUUUUUUGUAUUUAUUCUGUAAAUGAAGCUAAUUUAGAGCGCAAUCGCAGCUCGAGAAACUAUGAGUCGAUAACUUAAUGGACUUUUUUGCAUUUUAGCAAAUAUAUGAGUAUUGCGGUGACUCAAUUCUUUUUGCAACUGAUAUCACGCCCUUCAUACUUUGAGAUUAUUAUCAAUUUUUGGACAUAUGUUGAUUUUAGGAGGUCUUAAUCGAUAUUUUGGUUAUUAAUUUUUUGUUACGGAUUAAUCUUUAGCGCCUAUAUUUAAAUAAAAGAAUCUUCCAGAAUGAAACAAGGCUCUGAUUAUGAAAUUACUUCUGUCUUAUGAUGAAAAUGACUUUGAUUAUAGUGUCGUGUCAGCUUUCAGAUUUUCGUUCGAAUAUUAAACUCUGUUCGCAAAUAGUUCCUUUCUUUACUGUUUCUACAUUUACAUGUAGCUGAGAUCUCUAUUUCUUCUAUCGUGUGUAUUGCAUAGCAUACGUGUAUCAUUAUAUACUCAUAUAUAUAUAACAAAAAAAUAUGUUCUACCAUUCAAUCCACACACAUUAACUACUUUUUACUUUACAAUAGAAGUUACUUCCAACUACAUAACUGCUCAAUAGAUUGCUCAAGUUCUAUAACGAUUUAACAAUAAGAUAGCACCAUAAAACAAGUAACGAAUCACGCACCAAUAUUUUACAUCACGUUGCAUAAAAAUAUAAGGAAUCCGAGAGUCUUCAAAUUAUUACUGAAUUUCAGAAUAAUUAAUCUAAGUAACAUUUUUAUGAAUUUGCAAAUGUUUUAAUGGUUUAUUUUACGCUUUGGCAGCUUAUAAUUUAUAGACAACGAUUUAACUGUUGGCAAAAAUCGAAAAAAUAUCUUCCGUUUUUAUAUACAUUGCUAUAAAAAUCGAUUUCUUUUAUUAGAAUUGCACAUAUUUGAGCGACGUCCAGUUGUUCCUAUCGUAAGGACAUCGAUGCUAUUUUUAUCAGACUGUGUUAUACAGCAGCCCGUAUUUAUCGUUAAUUGUACGUGUUUUCUGUGCUUAUCGCAGCUAUCACUCAUAUGCACUUAUUUAAAUAAUAAAUAUUGUUUCAGCGCUCAUACGUAGUACCGUAACAAUAUAUUACGUAGAUUUAUUUUUUACGGUUAUGUAGAGAAAACGAAACGUUCAGGAAUAUUUCGUUUGUCCAAACGAUGAUCGAUGCUGCCUUAUUCAAACUGCUAAGAAUAAAUAAAGUCACCAAUAACGCAACGAAUGCUCAAACGAUUAAUUUGCAAUUUGCAAAUUACGAAUGUAAUAGAAGCAAAGUUGUCUUGUCAAUUUACGAUCAGCUGUGAUACAGAUGUGCAAAGAGAAUAAAUCGGUAAAUUUUUUCUCUUUUUCGCUAGAUGCUUCUCAGCGACGUUUUGUGCACCGGUUCAGCCUCCAAAUGUUUGUAAAUAGCGCUUCGACUAAUUUACAACAAAGCCGUGAGCAAAUGUACGAAUUGCACGCGAGACUGUAUGACUUUAGGCUAUGAGAUGUGGAUGUAUAAUAGUUUGAUGUAAUAAUGGACAGAAGUGUGUUUAUAGUACGUUAAAUAAAAUCAAUACAUAUUAUUUAACAGGAUACGUAUCCAUUCGUACGCAGAGCUUCCUUUAACGAAGAUCGCGAAUGAUGAAGAAAAGAGUAGAGAAGCACUCGCGUCAUUUCUUUUCAAAAAUAUAUGUCGAAAAAUGUUUUUAUCGCUGCUGUCGAGCUCUGUAAAUUCGAAUGUAUGCUAGUUCUUUGUCGCAGUCAUUAAAUGGAUUGAAUAGCCUCCGAUAUACCGUUGCGCGUUAUUCUCUCGUAAACAGGAGGAUGCGAAAUUAAAGAUUAGCCUAACGUCUUUUCAUACGUAACGCUGCGAUGAUAUAUGAGCCGCUUACGAUAAGGUGGUGUAUAAUCUGGUUUUGAAAUGCAGAAUUUCAUGAGAAUUAAUUAUAUCUAAUGUUAAUGAUAAAUCGUCAUUAUUUAUUAUGUAUAUCAAUUGAUACAAAGCUUAUAUCAAUUAAUAUAAACUCACAUCGAACGAUUUUGAUACUGUUUUCAAAACAAAUAGAUUUACAUCACUUUGAAAAUAAAUACGAAAAUGAAUAAUA
rnacentral:misc_RNA from 1 species